GUGCUCACUUCGGCAGCACAUACACUAAAAUUGGAAUAACACAGAGAAGAUUAACAUGGCCCCUGCCCAAGGAUGAUACGCAAAUUCACGAAGCGUUCCAUAUAUUU
rnacentral:snRNA from 1 species